UGAUCAGACAAGUAUAAAGACCAGUCAGAUCAUUCAAUCUACAAAAUAAGGCAGUGGUCACUUGUGCUGAAAGAAUAGACUUCAGCAUGUAAAUAACUAAAUAUCCCUCUUCAUACUGUAUCUUAUGAAAUAUCUCAACAAUGAUCA